CUCAUUAUAUAAGUUAUCGUUUAUUUGAUAGUACCUUACUACUUGGAUAACCGUGGUAAUUCUAGAGCUAAUACAUGCUAAAAAUCCCGACUUCGGAAGGGAUGUAUUUAUUAGAUUAAAAACCAAUGCCCUUCGGGGCUCUUUGGUGAUUCAUGAUAACUUCUCGAAUCGCAUGGCCUUGCGCUGGCGAUGGUUCAUUCAAAUUUCUUCCCUAUCAACUUUCGAUGUUUGGGUAUUGGCCAAACAUGGUUGCAACGGGUAACGGAGGGUUAGGGCUCGACCCCGGAGAAGGAGCCUGAGAAACGGCUACUACAUCCAAGGAAGGCAGCAGGCGCGCAAAUUACCCAAUCCCGACUCGGGGAGGUAGUGACAAUAAAUACUGAUACAGGGCUCUUUAGGGUCUUGUAAUUGGAAUGAGUACAAUUUAAAUCCCUUAACGAGGAACAAUUGGAGGGCAAGUCUGGUGCCAGCAGCCGCGGUAAUUCCAGCUCCAAUAGCGUAUAUUAAAGUUGUUGUGGUUAAAAAGCUCGUAGUUGAACCUUGGGCCUGGCUGGCCGGUCCGCCUCACCGCGUGUACUGGUCCGGCCGGGUCUUUCCCUCUGUGGAACCCCAUGCCCUUCACUGGGCGUGGCGGGGAAACAGGACUUUUACUUUGAAAAAAUUAGAGUGCUCAAGGCAGGCCUAUGCUCGAAUACAUUAGCAUGGAAUAAUAAAAUAGGACGUGCGUUUCUAUUUUGUUGGUUUCUAGGAACGCCGUAAUGAUUAAUAGGGACAGUCGGGGGCAUCAGUAUUGCGUUGUCAGAGGUGAAAUUCUUGGAUUUACGCAAGACUAACUACUGCGAAAGCAUUUGCCAAGGAUGUUUUCAUUAAUCAGGAACGAAAGUUAGGGGAUCGAAGACGAUCAGAUACCGUCGUAGUCUUAACCAUAAACUAUGCCGACUAGGGAUCGGACGGUGUUAUUCUUUGACCCGUUCGGCACCUUACGAG
rnacentral:rRNA from 1 species